CUUGCCUACUUACCAUACCUUUUUGAAAUAACAUUCAUAAUAAACUAUCAGUUAGAAACAAUUGGCCACAGAAUGUACAAAGCAAUGCCUUGUCAAUAAACUAUUUGCUGUGAUUCACAAUUUUAGGAGGAAAUUCUCUGAAAA